rnacentral:rRNA from 1 species
AUGAACGCUGGCGGCGUGGAUAAGGCAUGCAAGUCAAACGGACACUUUCGCAAGAUUGUGUUAGUGGCAGACGAGGUAGUAACACGUAGGAACCUCCCCCCGAGUCAGGAAUAACGAGUCGAAAGAUUCGCUAAUACCUGAUAGUCUCUUAGGAGUAAAGUCGUAAGACGCUUGGGAAAGGGCCUGCGGGCUAUCAGCUAGUUGGUAGGGUAAUGGCCUACCAAGGCGAUGACGGCUAGGGGAGCUGAGAGGCUGACCCCCACCGAUGGGACUGAGACACGGCCCAUACACCUACGGGUGGCUGCAGUCGAGAAUCUUCCGCAAUGGACGAAAGUCUGACGGAGCGACGCCGCGUGAAGGAUGAAGUCCCUCUGGGACGUAAACUUCUUUUGUCGAGGAGAAAGUUAUUGAUAGUACUCGAAGAAUAAGGGGUUGCUAAACUCGU